rnacentral:rRNA from 1 species
AUGGCGGCACUUGUCACUCCCGCGGGUUGUCCCACCGUGUCCGAGCUGGUCGUGCAGGGCCGGGACUCGGCCGCCGUCCUCGAGGCCCUGCUCCGGGGCGCGUCGUCCCCCGACAAUGCCGGGAUCCGGGAGCUCGCCGGGGAGAUCCUCCGCUGCUGCGACCGCGCGCUCGCCGCGCUCCACGCCGUCGAAGGCGCCGCGGUCGAUGUCUCCGGCGGCAGGAAGCGGAAGUCGGGACCCGGCGGCGCAGACAGCCUGACGAGGCCGAGAAGAAGGAUGCGCGCGAGCGGCGGUGAGAAGGCGGCCAGAGUCGAGAGGAGGCGGACGGCGGAGGACGGGUUCAUAUGGAGGAAGUACGGGCAGAAGGAGAUCCACAACAACAGGCACCCGAGGCUCUACUUCAGGUGCACCUACAAGCACGACAGCGGCUGCCCGGCGACGAGGCAGGUCCAGCAGGCGGAGGACGACCCCUCCCUCUACGUCAUCACCUACUUCGGUGACCACACCUGCUGCCAGGGCGACGCCGCUGGCGCCGUCCUGGAGGCCGAGGGCGUCAAGAUGCAGCCGUUCGUCAUCAACUUCGGGUCGGCCACCGCGAGCAGCGGCUCGCCGUGGCUCUCCUCGCCCAGCGACACCGACGACGUCCGGAGGAGCGACAGCGGGGCCUCAGGCUCGUCGCAGGCCGUGUGCUCGCCGGAGGAAUUCGAAGUGAAAGAGGCCAAAGUUGAGUCAACGUCGGAGGACUCACACGCGAUGGAUCCGGCGGCGGCGGAGCUGAGUUCGUCGGCCGACUUCUCUUGUGCUUCCCCGGCAUGGAAUUCUCUGUCCGGCUGCUUGGACUGGGACCACUUCGGCGACAGCUCGUUCGAUUGCGAGUUCAUGGAUUUUGACGCCAUUCCUCUGUUCCAAUAG